UACGUAGGGUGCGAGCGUUGUCCGGAAUUAUUGGGCGUAAAGAGCUCGUAGGCGGUUUGUUGCGUCUAUCGUGAAAACCUGCAGCUUAACUGUGGGCUUGCGGUGGAUACGGGCAGACUUGAGUUUGGUAGGGGAGACUGGAAUUCCUGGUGUAGCGGUGAAAUGCGCAGAUAUCAGGAGGAACACCGGUGGCGAAGGCGGGUCUCUGGGCCGGUACUGACGCUGAGGAGCGAAAGCAUGGGGAGCGAACAGG
rnacentral:rRNA from 1 species